rnacentral:rRNA from 1 species
AGUGAACGCUGGCGGCAGGCCUAACACAUGCAAGUCGAACGGAAGCACAGUAAGAGCUUGCCUUUAAGGGUAGCGACUGGCGGACGGGUAAGACAUACAUCGGCAACUUAUUUUUCGUGGGGGAUUACGGAGGGCAACUUCCGCUAAUGGCGAAUAUAUCCUACGGGAGAAAGCAGGGGAUCAUGGCGGUUUUGGUGUUUCAUAGAGCCGACGUCGGAUUAGAUAGUUGGGGAGGUAACGGCCCACCAAGGCGACGAUCCGUAGCUGGUCUGAGAGGAUGAUCGGCCACACUGGAACUGAGACACGGUCCAGACUCCUACGGGAGGCAGCAGUAGGGAAUCUUGGGCAAUGGGCGCAAGCCUGAUCCAGCCAUACCGCGUGGGUGAUGAAGGCCUUCGGGUUGUAAAGCCCUUUUGUUGGGAAAGAAAAGCAGCAUAUUUAUACCCCGCUGUUCUGACGGUACCCAAAGAAUAAGCACCGGCUAACUUCGUG